rnacentral:rRNA from 1 species
CCUACGGGAGGCAGCAGUGGGGAAUAUUGCACAAUGGGCGAAAGCCUGAUGCAGCAACGCCGCGUGAGGGACGACGGCCUUCGGGUUGUAAACCUCUUUUAGCAGGGAAGAAGCGAAAGUGACGGUACC